AGAAUCUACAGGCUAUUAAGAGUUGUCGCCGAAAAGCUAUUAUNGAGGAAGCCAGAAAACACAUGGACUACUUGGAAAGGAAAGUUACUGAAGAAACUGUUCANGUAAACAAGCAGGAAGAAAAGGAUGGUGUUCAAUCUUCACUUCUAUCCCUGCUAAUCUCGUAACACCUUGAAGAAAGAAGCUCAACCGCCAUGAAAUGACUUCAUGAUAUUUUCUAAAUCUAUGGUGACACAACACUGCUAUUGUAGUGAUUAUCACUUUUUUGUUCACAUCUCUGAGGUGUCAGAAAAACUUUACUGAGAAUGUUUUGUUUGUGAAAUUUAUCGCGCAUGUAUUAUGGGAUCAUCAGGGAUAUUAUAUAUGAGGUCUCCUGUACAGUUAAAGCUAGCGUCCUGUGAUUUCCUGUAUGUAUANCCUGGGAAAUCCUUACUUGGGAACGUUUGAUUUAAUAAACAUGAAAUAGUUUCAGA